rnacentral:rRNA from 1 species
UGCCAGACUCCUACGGGAGGCAGCAGUGGGGAAUAUUGCACAAUGGGCGAAAGCCUGAUGCAGCAACGCCGCGUGAAGGAAGACGGUUUUCGGAUUGUAAACUUCUGUUCUUAGUGAAGAAUAAUGACGGUAACUAAGGAGCAAGCCACGGCUAACUACGUGCCAGCAGCCGCGGUAAUACGUAGGUGGCAAGCGUUGUCCGGAAUUACUGGGUGUAAAGGGAGCGUAGACGGCGAAGAAAGUCUGAAGUGAAAGCCCGCGGCUCAACCGCGGAAUGGCUUUGGAAACUUUUUUGCUGGAGUACCGGAGAGGUAAGCGGAAUUCCUAGUGUAGCGGUGAAAUGCGUAGAUAUUAGGAGGAACACCAGUGGCGAAGGCGGCUUACUGGACGGUAACUGACGUUGAGGCUCGAAAGCGUGGGGAGCAAACAGGAUUAGAUACCCCAGUA